rnacentral:rRNA from 1 species
GCAUAUCAAUAAGCGGAGGAAAAGAAACCAACAGGGAUUGCCCUAGUAACGGCGAGUGAAGCGGCAACAGCUCAAAUUUGAAAUCUGGCGUAAGCCCGAGUUGUAAUUUGUAGAGGAUGCUUCUGGGUAGCGGCCGGUCUAAGUUCCUUGGAACAGGACGUCAUAGAGGGUGAGAAUCCCGUAUGUGACUGGCUUGCACCCUCCACGUAGCUCCUUCGACGAGUCGAGUUGUUUGGGAAUGCAGCUCUAAAUGGGAGGUAAAUUUCUUCUAAAGCUAAAUACCGGCCAGAGACCGAUAGCGCACAAGUAGAGUGAUCGAAAGAUGAAAAGCACUUUGGAAAGAGAGUUAAAAAGCACGUGAAAUUGUUGAAAGGGAAGCGCCCGCAACCAGACUUUGCGGCGGUGUUCGGCUGGUCUUCUGACCGGUUUACUCGCCGCCGUGAGGCCAUCAUCGUCUGGGACCGCUGGAUAAGACCUGAGGAAUGUAGCUCCCUUCGGGGUGUGUUAUAGCCUCUGGUGAUGCAGCGCGUCUCGGGCGAGGUCCGCGCUUCGGCAAGGAUGAUGGCGUAAUGGUUGUCGGCGGCCCGUCUUGAAACACGGACCAAGGAGUCUAACAUCUAUGCGAGUGUUCGGGUGUCAAACCCCUACGCGUAAUGAAAGUGAACGGAGGUGGGAACUUUUUGUGCACCAUCGACCGAUCCUGAUGUCCUCGGAUGGAUUUGAGUAAGAGCAUAGCUGUUGGGACCCGAAAGAUGGUGAACUAUGCCUGAAUAGGGUGAAGCCAGAGGAAACUCUGGUGGAGGCUCGCAGCGGUUCUGACGUGCAAAUCGCAUCGUCAAAUUUGGGUAUACGGGGCGAAAGACUAAUCGAACCAUCUAGUAGCUGGUUCCUGCCGA